rnacentral:rRNA from 1 species
UUGCACGCUGGCGGCAGGCCUAACACAUGCAAGUCGAGCGGAUGAAGGGAGCUUGCUCCUGGAUUCAGCGGCGGACGGGUGAGUAAUGCCUAGGAAUCUGCCUGGUAGUGGGGGAUAACGUCCGGAAACGGGCGCUAAUACCGCAUACGUCCUGAGGGAGAAAGUGGGGGAUCUUCGGACCUCACGCUAUCAGAUGAGCCUAGGUCGGAUUAGCUAGUUGGUGGGGUAAAGGCCUACCAAGGCGACGAUCCGUAACUGGUCUGAGAGGAUGAUCAGUCACACUGGAACUGGGACACGGUCCAGACUCCUACGGGAGGCAGCAGUGGGGAAUAUUGGACAAUGGGCGAAAGCCUGAUCCAGCCAUGCCGCGUGUGUGAAGAAGGUCUUCGGAUUGUAAAGCACUUUAAGUUGGGAGGAAGGGCAGUAAGUUAAUACCUUGCUGUUUUGACGUUACCAACAGAAUAAGCACCGGCUAACUUCGUG